rnacentral:lncRNA from 1 species
AAGUGUUUUGAGUUUGGAAUUCUUCAGGGGUAGAGUGUUUUGAGUUUGGAAUUCUUCAGGGGUAAAGGAUUUUGAGCUUGGAAUUCUUCAGGGGUAAAGUGUUUUGAGUUUGGAAUUCUUCAGGGGUAGGGUGUUUUGAGCUUGGAAUUCUUCAGGGGUAGUGUGUUUUGAGCUUGGAAUUCUUCAGGGGUAGGGUGUUUUGAGUUUGGAAUUCUUCAGGGGUAAAGGAUUUUGAGUUUGGAAUUCUUCAGGGGUAGGGUGUUUUGAGUUUGGAAUUCUUCAGGGGUAAGGGGUUUUGAGCUUGGAAUUCUUCAGGGGUAAAGUGUUUUGAGUUUGGAAUUCUUCAGGGGUAGGGUGUUUUGAGUUUGGAAUUCUUCAGGGGUAGAGUGUUUUGAGCUUGGAAUUCUUCAGGGGUAAAGGAUUUUGAGCUUGGAAUUCUUCAGGGGUAAAGUGUUUUGAAUUUGGAAUUCUUCAGGGGUAGGGUGUUUUGAGUUUGGAAUUCUUCAUGGGUAGAGUGCUUUGAGUUUGGAAUUCUUCAGGGGUAAAGGAUUUUGAGCUUGGAAUUCUUCAGGGGUAAAGUGUUUUGAGUUUGGAAUUCUUCAGGGGUAAAGUGUUUUGAGUUUGGAAUUCUUCAGGGGUAAAGUAUUUUGAGCUUGGAAUUCUUCAGGGGUAAAGUGUUUUGAGUUUGGAAUUCUUCAGGGGUAAAGUGUUUUGAGUUUGGAAUUCUUCAGGGGUAGAGUGUUUUGAGUUUGGAAUUCUUCAGGGGUAAAGGAUUUUGAUCUUGGAAUUCUUCAGGGGUAAAGUGUUUUGAGUUUGGAAUUCUUCAGGGGUAGGGUGUUUUGAGUUUGGAAUUCUUCAGGGGUAGAGGAUUUUGAGCUUGGAAUUCUUCAGGGGUAAAGUGUUUUGAGUUUGGAAUUCUUCAGGGGUAGGGUGUUUUGAGUUUGGAAUUCUUCAGGGGUAGGGUGUUUUGAGUUUGGAAUUCUUCAGGGGUAAAGGAUUUUGAGCUUGGAAUUCUUCAGGGGUAAAGGAUUUUGAGCUUGGAAUUCUUCAGGGG